rnacentral:tRNA from 1 species
GGGGCCUUAGCUCAGCUGGGAGAGCGCCUGCUUUGCAAGCAGGAUGUCGUCAGUUCGAUCCCGUCAGGCUCCACCA